GUCAAAGCGUUCAUUAAAGUCGAGUUGGCUUAGGGAUACGUUCGUUGGGUAGGGGAGCGUUCUGUAAGCCUGUGAAGGUGUGUCGUGAGGCAUGCUGGAGGUAUCAGAAGUGCGAAUGCUGACAUAAGUAACGAUAAAGCGGGUGAAAAGCCCGCUCGCCGGAAGACCAAGGGUUCCUGUCCAACGUUAAUCGGGGCAGGGUGAGUCGACCCCUAAGGCGAGGCCGAAAGGCGUAGUCGAUGGGAAACGGGUUAAUAUUCCCGUACUUGGUGUUACUGCGAAGGGGGGACGGAGAAGGCUAUGUUGGCCGGGCGACGGUUGUCCCGGUUUAAGCGUGUAGGUGUGUGUUCCAGGUAAAUCCGGUUCACUUUAACACUGAGGCGUGACGACGAGGCACUACGGUGCUGAAGCAACAAAUGCCCUGCUUCCAGGAAAAGCCUCUAAGCAUCAGGUAACACGAAA
rnacentral:rRNA from 1 species